rnacentral:lncRNA from 1 species
UCCAGACUCGUGGUGGGAGCCCCCCUGGAGGUGGUGGCGGUCAACCGGACAGGACGGUUGUAUGACUGUGCAGCUGCCACUGGCCUAUGUCAACCUAUAUCACUGCACAGUGAGUGACUCCACCUGGGAAUUGGGGCCCUCAAUCCUCCUGUACAAGAAUGUCUCUCUUUGGCCUCUAGUCCUGAUUCUCCCCCCAAAUGAGGGUGUGCCCAUGAGUAUGAUCAUGUGUAUCUGCCCUCAGCACCACCAGAGGCCGUGAACAUGUCCCUGGGCCUGUCCCUGGCAGCCUCCACCAAUCGCUCCUGGCUGCUGGUGAGUUUCUCUGGGUCAUAGAAGGGUCACAAGGGCAGGAUCAGGGGCCAGAGGAGGCUUGGGCUGGGGGAGAAGAAUAUGGAGAAUUCUGGGGCCCCUUUGCUCACACAGGUCUCUGCCUCUAGGCCUGCGGCCCAACCAUGCACAGAGCCUGUGGGGAGAAUAUGUAUGCAGAAGGCUUUUGCUUCCUGUUGGGCUCCCACCUGCAGACCAUUCGGACAGUGCCUGCUGCCCUGCCAAGU